AGCAAUUUAGAAAUACAUUGGACUUUUUAUUUUUGGGUUAUUUCAAACUCUAGUAACUAGUGUGGAGACUAGUAGUGCAGACCCAACAUGCCAAAAAUAAAUUAAAUUAAAGUAACUUAUCUAACGUCUGCCUGCCUUCGUUGGCAAAUUUGUUUUUAAUUUUUGCGAAUAUUAUCGGUACCAAAUUGUUCUUUAUAGUAAAUAACAAAUGCCAAGCUAAUUUUGGACACAAUUAUAUGUCCGAACCACAUUCUUAAGAGUGGACGUAUCAAGAAAUUGCGGAAAUCUAACCCAAGUUCACAAAGUUGAGAAAUGAAGGAGAGGCAUGAGCUCAAAAUGCGAAUCAAAAGUGAAAGCAACAGGAGACAGUAACCAGAACCAGUAAAUUGAAUUUAAUAAAAAUUGCUAAUCAUUUGCGUUUGUAAUAUUAAAAGAAUAAGCUCAAUAUAAGUUUCGUAAGCUUUUGCUACAAUUGCAA